AGAAAAAAAUAUCUCAUCGUCUUUUUCCUCUCCAAGUGUUCCUUCCGCAAAGGCAGCACAACCUCAAAACUCGGUUCCAUCGAUUUAUAAAAUCUUGCGCUCCAACUUCUUGGUACCAAAUUGGCUGUUCGAUUUGUUGUUGCCACCCAGAUCCAUGGAACCAUAUGCAGUGCUAGUCUCGCUUUAAUAGUCCGAGGGGACAACGAAAUGGCGGAUAUUUCUUUUUAUAUUUGAUGGUUUGGCUAUUUGUUCACUUACAUCAUGCUUGAUAUUGACUUUAUUUCUCCAUGAAUGGAAAACUUGUAUGUUUGGUA